UACGAAGGGGGCUAGCGUUGCUCGGAAUCACUGGACGUAAAGGGUGCGUAGGCGGGUCUUUAAGUCAGGGGUGAAAUCCUGGAGCUCAACUCCAGAACUGCCUUUGAUACUGAAGAUCUUGAGUCCGGGAGAGGUGAGUGGAACUGCGAGUGUAGAGGUGAAAUUCGUAGAUAUUCGCAAGAACACCAGUGGCGAAGGCGGCUCACUGGCCCGGUACUGACGCUGAGGCACGAAAGCGUGGGGAGCAAACAGG
rnacentral:rRNA from 1 species